CAAGAUUAGAAAUGGCUGGGAUCAGAGAACAGCCUAUCACAGUGACAACCCUUUCCUUAAAGGAGGUGAUCCUGUUUCAGAGAUAAAUGUUGGCCAUAUCCCUGCCUGCUCUUCAAUUAGUGUUCCGGGACCUUUAGCAUGGACCUAACAGGUGCUGUCUUCAGACGAAUGAAGAAGUGGUCUGCUCUCUCAGGGAAUCAGAACAUCAAGGAUGUCAAUUGGGUAAAAAUUGGCUCAUCUGGUUCACGUAUUUGGAGGCCAUGCCUGAAGAGAGCUUCCAGAGUACUGGCUAAAACGUUGCCGAGAAAUUUUUGGAGCUCCAUUUCCUUGUAUUUCACUCAUUGCCUUCUCCUUCUCUUUAACCCCAUGGAAGUCUGGUUGGCCCCACUCCACAACACAACAAAAUCAGCAGCACAUUUUGCAAGGAAUUAUAAGCAAGCAUCCACAUCCUCCAAGACUCUGAAUGAAAACAUAUCCCUAGCACUACUAACACUAGUGAGUUUAUGUGGAACUGAAUUGUACUCAGGCUGAAAGUGGUACAAGAGAUGAAUAUUUAAUUCAUGAAUGCAUAAAAGUCCUAUUACCUCACAACAUUAACAUACAUUUGUUUGAAAGCCACACCACUGGAAUUUAUCAAUUUUACACAAAAAGCACCAAGAAUAUCUGUGAUCCACAUAAUUGUAACAUUUAUUAAUGUUGUACAAAAUGCAAUAAUAAUCCUUCAAAGCAGCAUACAAUCAAUCAGAACAAGCAAAAGGGAGCAAUUUUGUGCAAUGAAUUUCAAAUUCGGAGUAAAAUUGUAAAAGUAAAAAUCAAAUUCUGCACAGAUGUUUUAUAUCAUUUGCACAAGACAUUCCUUUUCUCUCUCUCUCUUUCACUUGCAUACUAAUACAUACAACUUCCCACACUGAUACAUACUCACAGGCACAUUUUCACACAGAUACAUACAAAUACCUUUACAAAUGACAUGCAGACUCGCACACAAAAACACA